GGUGGCUCAGUGGUAGAGCACUUGCGCUUGCAUGCAUGAGGCCCUGGGUUAGAUUCCCCAGCACCA
rnacentral:tRNA from 1 species